rnacentral:rRNA from 1 species
CAAAAUUCGUGCCAGCAGUCGCGGUUAUACGAUUAAUACAAGUGAAUAUUUUUGGUUGAUGUAGUUAUAAAUUAUUUUGAGUUUUAAUAAUUAAUUAUUAGGUGAAAUUUUAUUUUAUUUAUUUGCUCUUAAUUUUGAACCUAUGAAAUUUAUAAAAUAGACUAGGAUUAGAUACCCUAUUAUUUUAAAUGUAAAUUUUGUUUUACCUGGGUAUUAUUAGUUAAGGUCUUUAAACCCAAAGAAUUUGGCGGUAUUUCAUUCCAUUUAGAGGAACCUAUCUCAUGAUUGAUAGUACACGAUUUACUUUACUUAAUUUAUUUGUUUGUAUAUCUCCGUUAUCAGAAAAUCUUUUUGGAGAAAAAAUUUUCUUGUUUUUUUAUUAAAAUUUAUUUCAGGUCAAGGUGCAGCUUAUAGUUAAGUGUAUGAUGGGUUACAAUAAUUUUUUUUUAUUAUGGAUUUAAUUUUGUAAUAUUUUAAUGAAGGUGGAUUUAAUAGUAAUUUAAAUUAUUUAAUUUAACUGAUAUUGGCUCUGAAGUGU